UGGGGGAAUAUUGGACAAAUGGGCGCAAGCCUGAUCCAGCCAUGCCGCGUGAGUGAUGAAGGCCUUAGGGUUGUAAAGCUCUUUCGCCGACGAAGAUAAUGACGGUAGUCGGAGAAGAAGCCCCGGCUAACUUCGUGCCAGCAGCCGCGGUAAUACGAAGGGGGCUAGCGUUGUUCGGAAUCACUGGGCGUAAAGCGCACGUAGGCGGAUUGUUAAGUCAGGGGUGAAAGCCUGGAGCUCAACUCAGAACUGCCCUUGAUACUGGCAAUCUCGAGUCCGGAAGAGGUAAGUGGGACUGCGAGUGUAGAGGUGAAAUUCGUAGAUAUUCGCAAGAACACCAGUGGCGAAGGCGGCUUACUGGUCCGGUACUGACGCUGAGGUGCGAAAGCGUGGGGAGCAAAACAGAUUAGAUACCCUGGUAGUCCACGCCGUAAACGAUGGAGGCUAGCCGUUGGCGAGCAUGCUCGUCAGUGGCGCAGCUAACGCAUUAAGCCUCCCGCCUGGGGGAGUACGGUCGCAAGAUUAAAAACUCAAAGGAAUUGACGGGGGUCAUAGCUGUUUUCCU
rnacentral:rRNA from 1 species